UCCCCCAUCGCUGUGGGGGGUUUCACUUCUCUGAAAUCAUAAUAUUGUGCAACCAGAAACGAGGCGAAAGAAAACUCGGUUUGUUGUAGUUUCGUAGGAAAURGUGGCAAACGUCAAAACGUAAAAAAAAGGAGGACUUCCUGAACACAACACUGAAAUGCGGGUAUGCGAUCAGUGUAAACAAAACACAACGAGAAGAAACUUGACUCUUGGCUGAGUUAGACCAGCGGUCGUCUGCGGAGGUGAUCCGUGUUUUCUGGGGGAGGCGCUUGUUUCAUCUCAGCUUCAGAGAACCGGACACCAUCUCAGCUGCUCCACGGGAGGGGCAGCGCUCAGUCGUGACCCCCAACCCCCCAUAUACAAAGCCAGUGGGCCCUCUGCAGAUGAGGUGGGGGCUGGGUGGACACAGGGAGGUCUGCAGACCCCACUUGGUCCCAUGGGGUCAAAUAAAAGCCCCCCGUUCUGCUUCGAGUGGUUUGAAGAGCAGGCGCCACAUUCACGAACAGACGGCCCACCACAGCUAAGCCCCUCCCACUUCAGGGGCCACGAGCCCGGGGGUCUCUCCACAGAAGCCUGAGCUCCAUUGUCUGAGCGCGACCCCGGGGUCAGCUGAACUCACCUCCGCUCGGCCACGACCCAUUCAGACGAGCAAGAAAAACAUCUGACAAGAGCUGGGAUCACUUAAAGCGAGGGGGUGGGCACACACACACACACACACACACACACACACACACACACACACACACA